AGGAGAAGAAUAAGAAGGUCUUAGGUAUGGUUUUCUUAUGGUUCCUUAUUAUCUUAAGUCUAAGGUUUCUCUUCCCCAUCAUCUUAAGUUUUUCUAUGUUCUUUUUCUUCAUGGGUUUCAAAAACCCUAGGGUAUUCAAGGGUGAUUAUCAUUUGGGUGUUGAUCAAAUUGUGUUCUUGAUUUUACAAUCAAGAGAGGCUCGUUGUGAAGUUGUCGUUUACUUAGCUUGGACCUGAGCAUGAUGAACGCGACACAUCAAAAAGGGGUUACUAAGGAUAUGAAGACGUAACCCGAGUUACUAAUGAUAUGAAGACAUAACUCCAAGGGCGGACGCGCCGAGCUUAUUCAAGGACCAAAGAUCCUGUUUACCUCAAUGGGUGACAUGGACAAGUUAGCGGGCCAUGUUCACAUGGAAAAUGUUUAUGAUGAUAUUAUGAUGUUUAUGUUAUGAUGAUGUUAUGAUGAUGAUGUUAAUGUUAACGUGAUUAUGUUUAUGUUUAUGAUAUUGACGCCAUUAUGACAAUGAUGCUAUGAUGUAUAAAGAUGGAUGAAUGUGUUUGUGAUUUUUUGUAUCUUACUUGUUUGUUGUUUGUACUUCCUUACUGGGCUUUUAGCUCACCCCCUUACUUUCCCUUCCAGGUAGCAAAUAUGUUUCUAUAUGGCACGCGUGGUGAUGUGGGGAGUUCUGUCGUCCUAGUGUGUAUGGCGUGGGGGCAUCAUAUGGACGAGAAACGAUAAGUUUUAAAUGCCAUUUUCUUUUAAUAAUGUUAUGUUUAAUGGGAAUUUUUAAAUUUAUCAGUGGGACUUGAACUUUUGGUUGUUUUUAGAACUUUGCAUGAAAACUUAUAUUUUCUUUUUAAACUAUUGGGCCCGACUUGCAUGUUUUAGCAAGACCCCACUUAAAUCUUUAUAAUAAGUGACUUUUUCUCUUAUAAACCAAUGAAUAUGUGAAUGUUUUACAAAGCACUAGAUUAGGGUGUUUUACAAAUGGUAUCAGAGACGGUCGUCCAUGUUUCCAAAGACCCUCCCCAUACACGCUAAAGACAGGAAAAUCUCACGUCAUUGCGUCGUAAGUAUUUGU